UUGGAGACAGUUGCCUAGCGCGGCGGAGGUUGCGGUCUGAUGGGGACGCGGCUCAGCAUGGCCUCGCGGGCGCCGCUGGGUUUCCCCACGCUCCCCCUCUCCAAUGGCUUACACAUCCCCGUGCUGGGGCUGGGUACAUCCCAUCAAGGUGGAUAUUCCCAUGAUGCUGUGGUGUAUGCACUACAAAAAUGUGGCAUUCGUCAUAUUGAUACAGCAAAAAGAUACGGCUGUGAAUCACUCCUUCAGAAAGCUAUCAAAGAAAGUGAUGUGAAGCGAGAGGACCUCUGGAUAACUACCAAACUCUGGCAUAGCGACUAUGGCUAUGAAAACACAAAACAAGCCUGCCUGGAAUCAUGCAAAAGACUUGGUGUUCAGUACCUCGAUCUUUAUUUGGUACACUGGCCCGAUGCACAAGUUCCUGGUAAAAGUAAUCGUGAGGUCCGAGCUGAAACCUGGAGAGCCAUGGAGGACCUAUAUGAGAAAGGUAUAUGUCGGUCUAUUGGUGUAAGCAAUUUUCUCAUUAAUCAUUUGGAGCAACUAAAGGAAGAUUGUAAGAUAACCCCACAUGUUAAUCAGGUUGAAUAUCACCCUUUCCAAAGGCCCCAAGAGCUGGUGGAUUAUUGUAGAGGUAGAAACAUUGUUUUUGAAGGCUACUGCCCAUUAGCCAAAGGUGAAGCUCUUACUCAUCCUAAUAUAAUUCAGCUGGCAAAGAAAUAUGGCAAAACCCCUGCACAGAUCUGUAUACGUUGGAGCAUACAGAAUGGGAUUGUCACUAUUCCAAAAUCUACAAAAAUAGAAAGGAUACAGGAAAACUGUGAGGUAUUUGAUUUUAUACUAGCAGAAGAUGAUGUUGCAAUUAUAAAUGGAAUGCAUGAGGGGCGGCAUGUUUCCUGGGACCCAAGCUCUAUUGUGUAAAUUGCAAGUAUUGUCCAACUAAUCAGAAAUAGUGGGGAAGGAAAAGAGGGCAAAUGAGCUAUCUGUUAGUUUAAAGGCAUCACUUGGCAUUGCUUUCAAGAUAUGAGCAGCUGUGUUUUGUGCUACAAGCAGAUGUACACCGACUCAGUUACCAAGAAAACAAUCAGCACUAAAGGUUUUUGAUUUUAAUCUGAGGGAAGAAGAUCUGGAAUUUUUAGAUUCUUUGAACAUCAACAAAAAACUGAUUCACCUAACCUAUCCAAUAUGGAAAGGGUAAUGUCAAACCAGAUUGUUCUAACCCGCAACAACCG